AUUCUCCGAAGAAAAUAAAUUAAUAAAGAAAAAUUUUUAAGUAUCAUUCCUGUAGUUUUGUAUUUUCUCGCUUUAAUACUAUAUGAUUUAAAGUGUAUCACUUUCGUACGUACCCUGUGUUUUUAUUUUUUAUUUUUUUUGUUAUUCCCUCCACUAAUUUUUUUGUUAAUUAAUACGCGACAAAGUUAAAACUAAAAGGUAUUAAAGUAAAUAUUCGAUAAACUAUAGAUAGGAUAUCUGAAGUUUUUUGUAUUUGAUUUAACGAAAAAUUAACGAAUGGGCUGACAAAAAAGAAAAAAAAAUGAAAUAAUAUGAUACUAAAUUAAUACACUUUAAAUCAUAGGAUAUUAAAGUAAAAAAAUAUGAAAUCACGGGAAUGGUACUUGAAGUUUACUUAUAAAUAAAUAAAUAAGUGAAAUGUUGUUUGUA
rnacentral:lncRNA from 1 species